AGGCAGGGAAGGCCCAGGGAAGGGGCUCACUCAGGGGCAUGGGCCACUCUGCAGGGAUGCUGGACCUGACAGCAAUGCAGUGCUUCGGAACUCCCCUGGGCUGGGUUUCUAACCAGUGGGAUGGAAGGGCCUUUCCUUCCUGGGGUGCAUUUGGGGGAACUAGAUACGUCAUGAAUGUCAGCCCUGAAAAUGGAGGCUGCGCUACAUCCAUUCUUGGAAAGAAAAAUCAGGCCCUUCCAGCCCAGGUGACUCAGAAAGUCAGUCAGCAAUGUUCGGGGUCCCCAGUUUAGGCUUUCAAUUUGAGCUGAGCGGCUCAGGAGGCCAGAUCCCUGUCCGUGGCUCCAGGAGUAGGCUUUCUGCUGGGGGACAGGAUCCUCACAAACACCUGUGUCUUUGUGGGUCACUCCCCUCUGACAAGCUGGGAGGCAGGGUGCAGUUGUGGGAAAUCGUGUUUCCAUGAGGAGAGGGCCACCAAGUGGUGGGGGCACAGGAGACAGUGAGAAAGAGUCCCGCGGCCUUUCUGGAAUCAAAAAACUGGCAAAUGUGAAAAAGUGCAUAAUUUGUUUUAUUGAACAGGCUGCUUAUGUACGUUUGGAGGGCCAGGUUCAAGGACACUGCAUCCCUCCAGGACAAUAGCCUCAAAAGAAGAACAGACAGAGCAGGAAGAGAUGUGGGGUUUCUCCCAGGAAUGAGGCAGAACAGGGAUUUCUGCAGAUUUGCAAGGAGACCCCGACCGCUGAGCACCGGGUUACAACCCCACGUGACCCUUGUCGUGUUUGGCUUGGGCUCUGGGUCUGGCCUGAUCAUGUAUUCUUCCAGCUGAGUUCCAGAAAUUCAGAGGGUAGACUUAGAGAGGCUGCGUUUGGAACCCGGUGUGGAGACGGAGGGUCCUUUAUCCUGAGUCCCCUCAGCCUAAUCACUGUAGCUGAGUUCCAACACCACCCAGGCCCCCAGGGUGGCCGUGGAGGGAGAGCAAGCCUGGCAGGUGACCCAGGGGUCCCACUGCUGUGCCCCUCCCUUAUCUUUGUUCCCUUUCACCCCGGAAGGUGUGAUUGUCUCAUGUCAUGGUGACAAGCCAUCUCUCUUCUCUGUCAGGUGGGAUCCCCACCCCCGCUCAGCCUUCUUUCUGCAUGGAUGCUGAAGGACCAGGCUCACUUGAAGUUCUGAGUUUGAGCAGUAAGGUGGAAACAAAGAAACCAAUGGAAACAAAGAAACAAGUCAUUGUGGCAAAGCUCCCCACCACAGAGAAGCUGCCCUGAGUGGAAGGGAGGAAAAGGCUGACCAGCCUCUGGUUCCCGUACCGGUCAACUGAUUGGAGUACCUUUCCAGUUUGGAAACAUCUGGGCAGGCCCAGAUUGAACAGGAUCCAGGGGGAAGUACCAAGCCUGUCCCAUCGGCCAUCCUGUGUGUCAUGUCCUGUGACCCAGUGGAUGCUCAGCACCCUCCAGCUGAAGAAACAGAUUGCCUUAGGUACAUGAAAGGUGAGGACACCUACUAUCCCCAUGGAGCCCAGGUGGGGCUGGGAGUCUGCUGUUUGUACAGCCGGUGGGCUCGUGUUUCUUUGGGCAUCCCUGUGCCUGAAUUCCUGCAGUACACUCGGUGUGCAUUCCAUGGUGCAUCCUCGCCUAGAAUUGAGUGGAAGCAAGUCCAUCUCAGAAGGGACAUACCUGAAGAGAAAUGGCUUUCCAGACUCUGAAGGGCAGAGAAAGCACCAGCCUGGGUUAGAGAAAGAGAACAGCAUCUCUGAGCCCGUCCUGGGUGACCUCACAGAGAUCACCCUAGUGGCCCAGGCUAGUGACCGGGAACAUGUACCUUCCUGCAGCCAACCCCAGACGUCCACUGAUGCAUCAUAUACUGGCAAAGAUCCUGGCCUGGGGGGGCGUUGGCCGCCGGAGAUUCGCCAGAUGUUGGACUCCAGGGGCGGCUUCUGCUGCUGUAGAGGCGGGACGCCGGUCUCCAGGUGAGCUUGGUCCUGGGAGGCGGCGGCGGCGGCGGCGGCGGCUGGGGGUUGGGGUCCGUUCCAGGGAGCUGCUCCAUUUCUUCUCUCCCCCGCGGCCUGGCCUGGGGGCGACCUCUGCCGCCAGAGAUUUGCCUGAGGUCCGACUCCAGGUGAGCUUGCUCCUGGGAGAUGGGUGCGGUGCAGUCAGGGGGCUGGGAAGGUGGUGGCUGCGGGGAUAGGGAGGCUGCCCCGGGGGAGCUUGAGGAUUAGCUCCCAUGUCUGUGCCGCGUGGCCUGCAGGCGGCCUCUGCUGCGCCAGGUCCCGGGACAACCCUUUCCCACUUUGCCUGCUGGGGGCGGGAGGCAGGGUAGUCAGGGUGCACGGGUGGCGGGGGUCGGGGGCCUGCAGCGGGGGAGCGGGCACAUUUGCUCCCAUCUUCCCCGCGGCUUGUCCUGGGGGAGGUGUCUCUUGCCCUGGGUUAAGAGACACGUGUAUCCUAGUCAGCCUGGCCCCAGGAGGCGGGCGUGUUACGUUGGGGGUGGUGGCAGCAGCGGCAGGUUUUCCCAUGGAGCCGGUCCAUUUGCUCCCAUUUCUCCCCAUUUUUUGCCCUGGGGGCGGUCCCUGUUGUCCCUAGUUCGCCGGACGUCCAUCUCCAGGUGACAUUUUAGGUUAUUGGGUCCCAGAUUGCUGGCACACUCAUCCCUGUUCUCAAACAUCUUUUAAACUUGGGUGAAGUGAUAAGUUGGGGAAGAAGAUGAUUUACUGAAAGUCUCCCGAGAAGAGAUUCAGACUGAACAGCUUUGUGUCGGACUUUGGAAGACCGCUGGUGCCCAAGGGGUUCUCUGGCAGCACAAUGACGAAUCUAGGUACCUCUUUCACUGCUACGUCAAUGAAGUGGACCGCUUGGACAAGGCCAAAGCUGGUAUCCCAACCAUAGCCCUUGACAGUGAUGUUCGGCUCCAGGAAGCCAUCAGAUGCAGCAGGUGGCCAGAGGAGGAGCCGAACGGGCUCAUGAAAUGUGACACCCCCAGCUUCAUCAACACGGACCAGAACUCUUCCUUUGGGGAAGAUGAUCUCCUGAUUUUGGAACCACCUAUUGUUCUAGAAAAUAAGCCAGUUGCCCAGACCUCACACAAAGACUUGAAUUGGAAAUGUGCUUUGUCAAGUAUUUCUCUGAAGAUGUGAAGUCUGUCUUUGUAUGGCAGGAAGUCCCCUUUCACAAAAUUGUAUGUGUUUGUGUCUGAGAGAGAGAAAUGGAGACAGACAGAAAGACGGAGACAGAAGAGAGCCCCCUCAGAAGAGAGCUAGUUAAGCAUCCCAGACUGACGAAGACAGUGGAGAAUGCCUCUGAGUUUGGCACUGAUUGCCUGGAGAAUGCUGAAACCCAGGGAAGUGGGCAGCACAGACGUUUACUCAUUUAAUCCUGCCAACACAGUAGGAGAUAGAGUCUACAUAUUCCUCGCUACUUAAAAGAUCCCUGCCUUCUCUCUGCUCCUCCUGUCCAUGUCUCUCCCUCCACUUUUCCCCUUCUCCCUUCCUCCUCCCAUCUUCUCCGUCCCUCGCUUCCCCACCUUCUCUUGCAGAACCCAGAGAGGAUCGCUGGCCCUCCUGCGCAUGCGCAGUCUGUGCCAGCUGGACCGAGGGUUGGAAGCUGCAACUCCGAGCCGGGGAUCGGCCCCAAAGGCUUCUCAGCUCUUUCGCCCGGUAGGACUUUGGCUCCUGCCCUGGCGCCCCGGCCACAGCUGUCCAGGGCCAAGUGUGCACCUGCCGCCUCUCGCCCCAGCCGGGCUCCCCUCAGUCCGCGGCUGGCUUCCCCUUCCCCUCUCCCGCCCGCGAGUCCUCUCCUCCCGGGCUGCCUCUCCUCGGGCGCCGGCCCGUCCCCGCCCCUAGGCGGGCUGUGUCCCGGGCGGGCGGGUUCUGCGGACCCGGACGGGGGCGGGCGGCUGGGGCUGGGGCUGGCCUCCGAGCGGGGCUACAGUCCGCGUCACCCCCCCCCCGCUUUCCCUGCCCCGCGACCCCGGGGCUGCCCUCCUCUCCCUUUCCCGCUCCCUGGGGACCAGCUCAGUGGUGUGGGCGCUGCUCCCCGGGCUGAGAGCCUCCGGCUGUGAACCCCAGCUUCUCCUGGUGGAGUCGGGAAAAGGGAGCGUCAGUGCUGAGCGAGCUUCCGUCUCCUCCCUCAGUGUUUCUGCCCCAGUACGUUUUGGUUACUGAGACCCUCGAAUUCCCAUAUGAAUUGUAGCAGCAGCUAGUCAGUUUCUGCAGAGGAGACCGCAGGGAUUGUGAUCGAGACCACGUUGAAUAUACGGAUCGUUCUGGGAAGCACUGCCAUUCCAAGAGCGCUGUCUUCUGAUCCAGCAAUGUGCUUGGUUUGUCUGUCCAGGUGCCCUCACCUCCAGUAGCAUCCAUCCAGACACCGGAACUGACACUGACCGUGCUCAGAACUGCCUCAGCCCUGAAGACACAACUGACAAAUAGAAGGGGACCACGCCCUGUUACAGCAGAAAUAGACUCCUAUUAGAAGAGGGGAAGUGGAGACAUAGAUAUUCUGCUGAGAUAUUGGUGUCAUCAUAUUUGAGUUGGAAAGGACUUACGACAGCAUAGAGUCGUACCUUUUUAUGGGUGAGAAUCCAUGAUAGUGUAACUUGGACAAGAACCCGGGUCUUCUGUCUUCAUGUCCACGCGGAUGAAGAGUGUAAGAAUGCCAGUGACUGAGUUAGAAGCAUGCUCCCAAGCUGUCCGUGUCCUUGCCAUUAAGAAGCGGACCCUGGAAGCUUCCAAAUUCUCCAGAAUGCGUUCUACAUUCACCUUCGGCAGAUACCCAGCUUUCCCUGCACCAUUUGUUGAAUAGACAAUUCUUUCCAUGGAGUGUUGUUGGCACCCUUGUGGAAAACUGACUGUAAAUAUAAGGAGACUGAGAAUUAAGUCUUCUCUCUUUUGGGUGGAGCUCAUUAUCAAUGACGGGAAGUUGUAAGGAAAAAGAUAUUGAUUCAUUCUGAGAAAACAUUUUUCUGAGAGUCAGCAGUGAAGAAGGUGGACACUGAAGAAGAUCCAUCCCUUUUCUCUGCUCUUCCGGUCCAUCUGUCUCCCUCCACUUUUCCCCUCCUCUCCUCCCCCUCCCAUCUUCUCCCUCCCUCGCUGCCCCACCUUCUCUCGCAGAACCCAGAGUGGAUCGCUGGCCCUCCUGCGCAUGGGCAGUCGGUGCCAGCUGGACCGCGGGUUGGAAGCUCCAGCUCCGAGCCUGGGAUCGGCCCCAAAGGCUUCUCAGCUCUGUCGACCGGUAGGCCUUUAGCUCCUGCCCGGGGCCGGGGCCUCUGGCUGUGGAAGUGGAAGUUGGGGGGCUCCCAGGAAAGGGGUCAGGCGGCUGCGGGAGGGCGGUCGGCAUGUCACAGCCCCCCAGGGCGCCAGUCAGCCUGUGUUCAGCUGAAUUGCUCUGGCCAGACCCCUCUGCCCGCGCCACCUACCCCGGCGCCCCGGCCACACCUGUCCAUGGCCAGGUGUGCACCUGCAGCCUCUCACCCAGCCGGGCUCCCCUCAAUCCGUGGCUGGCGUCCCCUUCCCCUCUCCCGCCCGCGAGUCCUCUCCUCCCGGGCUGCCUCUCCUCGGCCGCCGGCCCGUCCCCGCCCCUGGGCGGGCUGUGUCCCGGGCGGGCGCGGUCUGCGGACCCGAACGGGGGCAGGCGGCUGGGGCUGGGGCUGGCCUCCGAGCGGGGCUGCAGCCCGCGUUUCCACCAACCGCCCCCCCGCUUUCCCUGCCCCGCAACCCCGGGGCUGCCCUGCUCUUCCUUUCCUGCUCCCUGAGGACAAGCUCAGCGGCGUGGGCGCUGCUCCCUGGGCUGAGAGCCUCCAGCUGUAAAGCCCAGCUUCUGGUGGAGUCGGGAAAGUGGAUCCUCAGUGCUGAGCGAGCUUUUGUCUCCUCCCUCAGUGUUUCUGCCCCAGGGCCUGCUACAGGAGCAUCCCUGACUACGUGCAGUGUGCUGAGGACUAUGAGACUCUUCCCGUGGUGGUCAAACCAGUGGGGAUCAUCUCAGAGGAGAAUUUCUUUUGCAUCUAUAAGCGAAUCUCCUUGGUGAGCCAGAUCAGCCCGUGCAGCUCCCAGGGCGCACUCUGUACGCACUACAGGUACCACUAUGCGCCCAAGAAUGGAUGGAGCGUCUUCCAGACCCACCGCAUGUUUGUGGGCCUUGUCACCAUUACCGACUGCCUCUCAGCCAAGGCCUUCGAGAAGCUCCACGUGCAGAGGAGCUGUAUGGCAUCACGCUUAAUGACUCUCAGCUCUUUGUCUUUGUGCUGCAUGGGGAGGUAGCCAAGCAGCCGCGCACCGACGUGGCCUUCAUACUACGUGGACUGCAUGGUGGUGGAGAAGAGGAUCGAGGAGUUCACUGAGUCACUCUUCAUCUUGCUCAAGUCCAAGUGGCUGGAUGGGGCCCCUGAGAAGUCUGGGGACAAGAUCCCACUCCUCUGCAUGCCGUUUGAGAAGGAGGACUUCAUGGGACUGGACACAGACAGCAGGGCCCUGUGAUCUACAUGCCCGCGCUCCCCAUCUGCUCCUUGGAGAUAAGGUGUCAGGUUUAGGAGCCUGGGAACUGCUGAGGGCACAGCUGCCAGCACCGUGCUACACCGAGCCUGGCUCCGUUCACCUCACAUGUCACCUCCUGCUGAUCCCCCAGGCGUCAGUCAAGUACGUUUUGGUUACUGAGACCCUCGAAUUCCCAUAUGAAUUGUAGCAGCAGCUAGUCAGUUACUGCAGAGGAGCCCACUGGGAUUGUGAUCGAGACCACGUUGAAUAUAUGGAUCGCUCUGUGAAGCACUGACAUUCCAAGAGCACUGUCAUCUGAUCCAGGAAUGCGCGUGGUGUGUCUGUCCAGGUGCCCUCACCUCCAGUGGCAUCCAUCCAGACACCAGCACUGACACUGGCCGUGCUCAGAACUGCCUCAGCCCUGAAGACACAACUGGCAAAUAGAAGGCGGCCACGCCCUGUUACAGCAGGUGCUCUCACUUUGUGGGUCCUUAUGUAACUGCGUGGUUUUAAUCAGGAUCGCCCGUUCUACAUUGUGUGGCGCUGCUGCCGUGUCUCCUAGUUAUUGUUUCUCUCCCUGAGGACCAGCUCAGCGGCAUGCGCGCUGCUUCCCGGGCUUAGAGCCUCAAGCUGUAAAGCCCAGUUUCUCCUGAUGGAGUCUGGAAAAGUGAGCGCCAGUGCUGAGGGAGUUUCCGUCUCCCCCCUCAGUGUUUCUGCCCCAGGGCCUGCAACAUGAGCAUCCCUGACUACGUGCAGUGUGCUGAGGAAUACGAGACUCUCCCCGUGGUCGUCCAACCCGUGGGGAUCAUUUCAGAGGACUAUUUCUUUUGCAUCUAUAAACGAAUCUCCUUGGUGAGCCAGAUCAGCCCGUGCGGCUCCCAGUGGGCACUCUGUAUCCACUACAGGCACCACUAUGCGUUCGAGAAUGCGUGGAGUGACUUCCAGACCCACCGCACGGUCGUGGGCCUUGUCACCAUUACCGACUGCCUCUCUGCCAAGGCCUUCGAGAAGCUCCAUGUGCAGAGGAGCUGUAUGGCACCACGCUUAAUGACUCUCAGCUCUUUGUCUUUGUGCUGCAUGGGGAGGUAGCCGAGCAGCCACGCACCAACGUGGCCUUCAAACUACGAGGACUGCCGGGUGGUGGAGAAGAGGAUCGAGGACUUCACUGAGUCACUGUUAAUCUUGCUCAAGUCCAAGUGGCUGGAUGGGACCCUGACAAGUCUGGGGAAAGGAUCCCCCUCCUCUGCACCUUGUUUGAGAAGGAGGACUUCAUGGGACUGGACACAGACAGCAGGGCCCUGUGAUCUACACGUCCGCACACCCUUCUGCUCCUUGGGGAUGAGGUGGCAGGUUUAGGUGCCUGGGCAUUGCUGUGGGCACAGCUGCCAUCACCGGGCUACACCGAGGCUGGCUCCGUUCACCUCACAUGUCACCUCCUGCUGAGCCCCCCGGCGUUAGUCAAGUUCGUUUUGGUUACUGAGACCCUCGAAUUCCCAUAUGAAUUAUAACAGCAGCUAAUCAGUUUUUGCAGAGGAGCCCGCUGGGAUUGUGAUCGAGACCAUGUAGAAUUUACGGAUCACUCUGGGGAGCACUGCCAUUCCAAGAGCACUGUCUUCUGAUCCAGGAUUGUACGUGGAGUGUCUGUCCAGGUGCCCUCACAUCCAGUGGCAUCCAUCCAGACACCAACACUGACACUGGCCAUGCUCAGAACUGCCUCAGCCCUGAAGACACAGGUGACAAAUAGAAGGGUGCCGCGCCCUGUUACAGCAGGUGCUCUCACUUUGUGGGUCCUUAUGUAACUGCGCGGUGUUAAUCAGGAUCGCCCGUUCUACAUUGUGUGGCGCUGCUGCAGUGUCUCCUAGUUAUUUGUUUCUGAGAAUUACGGCCUGCUGCUAGAGUGUUUGAUCAGGAUAAAUGAUUUGUUUCUAUAAGAUGCCACGUACAGUCACAAGCUCAGUGAGAAAUGGGCUGUCACCUCUUCAUCUGCAACUCAGUGCUCGACAGGACAUCGGGGCAAAGCCAGUCCGUAAUUUGUUUGUGAUGCAACUGUCCACGUGGGUCAAAUCAUGGUGCCCCUCUAAAACCUCCAAAAAAAAUCAAAGUUGAUUCUCUAUUUUGCAACUUGCCAUCUCUAUAUAAGUGCAGAAGAGUUAACAUCGUGAAAGAUCAGAGCCCGGAGAAUAGGCUCUCCUGGAUAUUUCAGGCUAAAGGCAACUUUCUUUUACAAAAGGUACAGAGCUACCAAGUCUGAGCCUAGAAAACAGCAAAUGUUUAAAGCCAAAGGAACAGAUCUAACAUGCAGUCAAAUUUAUUCUUUUCUAUUACAAUUUCUUUUUCCACCUCAUAAAUAAUUUUAGUAAGAAACAUGAGCAAUUUUUUUACUUUUGCUUCUUAGUAACGGAUAAGUGGGCCGAAUACAUUUAUGAGAGCAGGGAUGCUGUGCGGGCAUUGGGGUCACAGCAAACUCUUGUUGGGGGUGGUCGACUCUGCAACAUGUCUGAUGCCCCGUGGGUGUUGGUGAGGGACCCCAUAAACAGGGGCUCUCUUCAGGAACCAGCAUAUGGGCAUUGACCUCUGGAGACCUCUUUUUCAGCUGCCGGAAAUUUUUUCAGAUACUGUGACUGAAAAACAACUUCAGCUGGUGAUAAUUAGGGAAUAAAGGAAGAGGAAAAGGGCUUGGAUUAGAUUACAAGAGAAGGACAGAAUAUCAGGGAACCUGGGGGCUUGGCAGUGGGUCCUUGGGAGAGAGGGGAGCAGAGGUGGGGAGGGGCACGGCUCUGGAACCAGCUCCUGCAACUGUCCCAGGGCCCAAGUCACACAGCUUUUAAUUGGCCCAGGACGCUCUCCUGUCUGGAUGUCACCCUGGGCAGAACCUUGAGAAUCGAAGGUAAGGGGUGGGCAGCACUCACCUAGGGGAUCACUGAGGACUUAGUUCAAGUCCACAGUGUCUUUUCUGGUCAUGUGUCUUCACUUGCCCUUUAUCUUAGGAUCUGAGAAGCAGGAGCAAAGAACGCAGGGAGAGAUCCAGUAAGACAUCUGACUGUGUUAAGAGACGACAGUCAUAGCCACACAGGGAGCGAGGACACUUGCAGCAAAGUAAAACGACUUCAGAACUAUUGCAUCAGAGCUGCCGGUGUGAGAGAGCCUAAGCCUGUCUCAGAGUGCAGGGGACAAGCAGAAAGGAAUGUGUAAGAAUGCUGGUGACUGAGUUAGAAGCAUGCUUCAAAGCUGUCCGUGUCCUUGCCAUCCAGAAGCAGAGCCUGGGAGCUUCCGAAUUUCUCCAGAAUGGGGUUUACAUUCAUCUUCGACAGACGUUUCCAGUAAGGAUGGGGAGCAGAAGAGAAAACCCCCUGCUUCACAGUGGAAGCUGCUGUUUUGUGCAAAACUGACCAAAGUUUGAAGACCAGUCAUCAGCGGUGCUGGCAAAUGAAGAGACUUCGGGAUUGGGUGGGGCACUUGCUGCGACUUCCAGCAUUCCUAGGAGAGAAUUCAGCAGUGCAGCAUCCUCUCCGAGCUCUAUGAGUUGAUCGGCUUCCACCGCAAGUCCGCCUUCUGCAAGCGGGUGGCCCCCGUGCAGCGCGCGGCCCCCGGCAUCACGGAGCCUGGCUGGAAGGCCUGCUACCGACUCCUUCUGCAGACGCUUCCUGGCUACAGUCUGUCGCUGGAUCUGCAGGACUUCAGCAAAGGUGUUGGAACUAAAACAUUGCUUCAGUCCCAUUAACCAUGCCUGGUUUGGGCCCUGCUGUCUUGCCUCAUCAGGGUGAAUCCUGAUUCGUUUAGAACAGGGCUCAGCAGACUUUUUCUGUCAAGGGCUUGGGAGUAAGUAUUUCAGUGUCUGCAAACCUCCUGAUCUCUGGUGCAGCUGCUCAGCUCUGCUGUUCAGACGCCAGAGCAGCCGGACAUUCCACACACACACAGAGUUUUAUUAACAGCAUUGGCUGGGGCUGGAUUCGGUGUAUGAACUGCAGUUUGUCCCCACAGCUCCUCACUAUUGACGCCUGCACCAGAGCGUGCAUUUGCGACAAUGGGUGUACCUGCACUGACACGUCAUCAUCACCCAGAGCCCAGACUUGACACUAGGAUUUACACUUGGUGGUGUGCACUCUGUGGGUUUGGACAGAUGUGCAAGGACAUGUAUCCGCCGUCACAGCAUCAUACAGAGUAGUCUGUCUUAGUGACCUUAAAAUGCUCCGUGCUGCACCUCAUUCAUUGCUCCUUCCCCUCUAGCCUCUGACAGCCACUGGUCUUUUAGUCUCUUUGGUGUUCCCUUUCCCAGAACACCAUACAGUUGGAAUCAGACAUUUGUGGAACCUUCCCAGAUUGGCUUCUUUCACUUAGUAAUAUGCAUUUAAGGUUCCUCCAUGUCUUUUCCAUGCCUUGAUAACUCAUUUCAUUUUAGCACCAAAUAAUAGUCCAUUUUCUGGCUGGACCACAGUUUAUCCAUUCACCUACUGAAGAACAGCUUAGUUGUUUCUGAGUUCUGGUGAUUAUGAAUAAAGCUGCUAUUAACAUCUGUAUGCAGAUUUCUUUGUGGACAUAAGUUUCCAUUUCGUCGAGUAAACACCAAGGAGCACAGUUGCCGGAUCAUAUGUUAGGAGUACGUUUAGUUUUGUAAAAAAUUGCCAGACCGUCUUCCAAAAUAUCUGGGCCAUUUUACAUUCCCACCAGCAAUGCAUGAGAAUUCCUGACGCUCCACAUCCUCACCAGCAUUCGGUGCUUUCAGUGUUCUGCGUUUUGGCAGUUCUGACAGGUGUGCAGUGAUACCUCGCUGUUUCAGUCUGCAUCCCCUUGAUGACAGAUGCUGUGGAGCAUCUUUCCAUAGACUUCUUUGGCAUCUAGAUUUCUUCUUUGAUGAGGUGUGUGUUCAGGCAUUUUGCUCAUUUUUUAAUCAGGUUGUUCAUCCUCCUUGUUGAGUUUAAAGAGAUUUUGGUAUAUUCUGGAUAUCAGCCCUUUAUCAAUGUGUCCCUGCCCUUCACCUGCAGCACCGGAGUUGUCCUUUGGGUCUCAGUGGAGUGUCAGCUCUUCAAAGAGGUUCCCUGUCUUCCCUCAGCCUAAAUACUGUCCUUGUAUUUUUCACUUUCAUUGACUCAUUUUGUUGUUUUUAAAUAGCAUUUCCCAUAAUUUGUAAGUACAUUAAAUAAAAGGGCAAUGAUUGAACACCACCUCCCCCACCAGGCUGUGUGCCCUGUGAGAGCAGAGGCCCUGUCCCCACUCACCGUUUCCCAUGACAGCACAUGGCACAUGUCCAUGUAAAAGUGUGUAACGUGGGGCCAAACCUGAUGAGCAGCUAUGAUGACAUGUGUUGGCUACCAUUUAUUGAGUAGACUUUGUUUCUGAUCUUAAUUAUUAAAUCACAUGAAUGAAACUUGUUUGUUUUGAAAAAUAAACAACAAAGCACACCUCCAUUUGAUUGGUACUUUCCACUUAGCCUUCUGACCCAGGAGGGGAUGUUCACCAUCAUUUUGUGGAGGAGGUUGGGGAGGUAAAGUAAGAGAGUGAGAUCAAAUAAAGUAAAAAUGAUAACUAUCAGUUGGCUUUAUUUUCACUAAGACAUAAAAGUUACUUUAAACCCUA